rnacentral:rRNA from 1 species
UACCUGGUUGAUCCUGCCAGUAGCAUAUGCUUGUCUCAAAGAUUAAGCCAUGCAUGUCUAAGUACAAGCCGCUAGACGGCGAAACCGCGAAUGGCUCAAUAAAUCAGUUAUGGUUCCUUAGAUCCACUCCAUCCUACUUGGAUAACUGUGGGUAAUUCUAGAGCUAAUACAUGCACUCGAGCCUCGACUGCGGGCUUUCGGGCUCGCAGAAGAGGUGCUUUUAUUAGAUCAAAACCAGUCGGGGCCGGGCUUUCGGGCUCGCGCACCGUACCAAUUUUGGUGACUCUGGAUAACUUCACGCCGAUCGCACGGCCUUCGCGCCGGCGACGUAUCUUUCAAAUGUCUGCCUUAUCAACUGUCGAUGGUAGGUUACGCGCCUACCAUGGUUGCAACGGGGUAACGGGGAAUCGGGGUUCGAUUCCGGAGAGGGAGCCUGAGAAACGGCUACCACAUCCAAGGAAGGCAGCAGGCGCGCAAAUUACCCACUCCCGGCACGGGGAGGUAGUGACGAAAAAUAACGAUACGGGACUCUUCCGAGGCCCCGUGAUUGGAAUGAGUACACUUUAAAUCCUUUAACGAGGAACCAUUGGAGGGCAAGUCUGGUGCCAGCAGCCGCGGUAACUCCAGCUCCAAUAGCGUAUAUUAAAGUUGUUGCGGUUUAAAAAGCUCGUAGUCGGAUGUCUGUCUUCGGCCGGGCGGCGCCGCUCUGAAUCAAGGGUGUUGCGUUUUCACGCUCUGGAGCCCGGGUGUCAAAGCCCGACUCUCUUCACGGUCGGACAACAUCGCCGGAGUGGUGGUCGGUGCGUCGUUGUUGUAUCUGCGGCCAGAGUUGGAAAGUUCUUUCGGGUUCUUUUUUAAAUUUUGGUCGUAGUUGACUCGAUUCGCUCCACCCAGUCAAUCGUUCGGGGGUGCCCUUCACCGGGUGUCUCGGGCGGCCGGCAACGUUUACUUUGAACAAAUUAGAGUGCUCAAAGCAGGUGUAUCCCAACGCCUGAAUAUCGCAGCAUGGAAUGAUGGAAUAGGACCUCGGUCCGAUUUUGCUGGUCUUUUACUUUUGGACCCGAGGUAAUGGUCAAUAGAGACGGACGGGGGCAUUCGUACUGCGGCGACAGAGGUGAAAUUCUUGGACCGCCGCAAGACGAACAACAGCGAAGGCAUUUGCCAAGAAUGUUUUCCUUGAUCAAGAACGAAAGUUAGAGGUUCGAAGGCGAUCAGAUACCGCCCUAGUUCUAACCAUAAACGAUGCCAACCAGCAAUCCGUCGGAGUUACUCCAAUGACUCGACGGGCAGCUUCCGGGAAACCAAAGUCUUUGGGUUCCGGGGGAAGUAUGGUUGCAAAGCUGAAACUUAAAGGAAUUGACGGAAGGGCACCACCAGGAGUGGAGCCUGCGGCUUAAUUUGACUCAACACGGGAAACCUCACCAGGCCCGGACACUGGAAGGAUUGACAGAUUGAGAGCUCUUUCUUGAUUCGGUGGGUGGUGGUGCAUGGCCGGUUCUUAGUUGGUGGAGCGAUUUGUCUGGUUAAUUCCGAUAACGAACGAGACUCUAGCCUGCUAAAUAGGUGACGGGUUUUAUCAAUUGAAACCGAAGGGAGUACGGAGGCGUCGGGGAUCAGGUGGCGGCGAUUCGGGUCUCGGGUGGGACUGGUUCCUUUAGUGAGGCAAUCUCUCGGCUUGGUUUCGUUGUGCUCUGUUCGUCGGGUGUACGGCCUUCACGGGUUGGUUGCCUGGCGGAUGAGGUAUGGCGGGGGGCUUUGUCGGGAAUGUCUCGCGGGGGCUGGCUCUAUUGUUAUUCGGUCGUCGUCAUCCCCGGCGAUACCUUCUGCUCUCGCGUCCGUCACGCAGUCUUCUUAGAGGGACAAGCGGCGUUCCCAGCCGCGUGACAGUGAGCAAUAACAGGUCUGUGAUGCCCUUAGAUGUCCUGGGCCGCACGCGCGCUACACUGAAGGAAUCAGCGUGUUUCACUCUCCCUGUCCGAAAGGACCGGGUAACCGCUGAACCUCCUUCGUGGUUGGGAUUGGGGACUGCAAUGAUCCCCAUGAACCAGGAAUCCCUAGUAGGCGCGGGUCACUAGCCCGCGUCGAUUACGUCCCUGCCCUUUGUACACACCGCCCGUCGCUACUACCGAUUGAAUGAUUUAGUGAGGCCUUCGGACGGGCUUGUCGGGGUGCCGUCGAGUGGGGAGCAAUCUCUGCCCGUGCGGUGCCUACCAACGGCGAGACUGAAAGAUGGUCGAACUUGAUCCUUUAGAGGAAGUAAAAGUCGUAACAAGGUUUCCGUAGGUGAACCUGCGGAAGGAUCAUAA